CGGACGGGUGAGUAACACGUAGGUAACCUGCCCAGAAGCGGGGGACAACAUUUGGAAACAGAUGCUAAUACCGCAUAACAACGUUGUUCGCAUGAACAACGCUUAAAAGAUGGCUUCUCGCUAUCACUUCUGGAUGGACUGCGGUGCAUUAGCUUGUUGGUGGGGUAAUGGCCUACCAAGGCGAUGAUGCAUAGCCGAGUUGAGAGACUGAUCGGCCACAAUGGGACUGAGACACGGCCCAUACUCCUACGGGAGGCAGCAGUAGGGAAUCUUCCACAAUGGGCGCAAGCCUGAUGGAGCAACACCGCGUGAGUGAAGAAGGGUUUCGGCUCGUAAAGCUCUGUUGUUAAAGAAGAACACGUAUGAGAGUAACUGUUCAUMCGUUGACGGUAUUUAACCAGAAAGUCACGGCUAACUACGUGCCAGCAGCCGCGGUAAUACGUAGGUGGCAAGCGUUAUCCGGAUUUAUUGGGCGUAAAGAGAGUGCAGGCGGUUUUCUAAGUCUGAUGUGAAAGCCUUCGGCUUAACCGGAGAAGUGCAUCGGAAACUGGAUAACUUGAGUGCAGAAGAGGGUAGUGGAACUCCAUGUGUAGCGGUGGAAUGCGUAGAUAUAUGGAAGAACACCAGUGGCGAAGGCGGCUACCUGGUCUGCAACUGACGCUGAGACUCGAAAGCAUGGGUAGCGAACAGGAUUAGAUACCCUGGUAGUCCAUGCCGUAAACGAUGAGUGCUAGGUGUUGGAGGGUUUCCGCCCUUCAGUGCCGGAGCUAACGCAUUAAGCACUCCGCCUGGGGAGUACGACCGCAAGGUUGAAACUCAAAGGAAUUGACGGGGGCCCGCACAAGCGGUGGAGCAUGUGGUUUAAUUCGAAGCUACGCGAAGAACCUUACCAGGUCUUGACAUCUUGCGCCAACCCUAGAGAUAGGGCGUUUCCUUCGGGAACGCAAUGACAGGUGGUGCAUGGUCGUCGU
rnacentral:rRNA from 2 species